UUAUUUAUUCAUGAGAGACACACACAGAGAGAGGCCGAAGGAAAAGCAGGGUCCCUGUGGGGACCCCGGGAUCACCCCCUGAGCCGAAGGCAGACACUCACCCACUGAGCCACCCGGGUGUCCUGGCUUCGUGCACUCCCGGUCGAUGACACAUUGCUAACGUUUAUGUGCCGUCACGUGAAGGCUGGCGCAGUCGUGGCAUAUUGAACAAUCGUGCAGCACAUGGGCUGGAAUGGCCCAGAGUGCCCUGCCGAAGCAGAGGAGCGUAGCCAGGCAGAAGUAUUACAUUUGGAAGACCGAGGAAAAGCGAGAAGAUUAUUUUCAUGUUUCCGCGAACAUGUUGAACUUUGUGGGAGAGGCGAUGCCGAAUGAACUUGGUUAGGCCACCGAGAAGGCCACCGGGUGUAGUGGAGAGAGCACGGACAUCCACUGAGAGAGUCAUGGGACGUCAGACAUGGCUUCUAGUCCUGGCUUCGCCACGGCAAGAUCCUCACUUCUCAGGAUAUCAGUUUUUCAUCUUUGAAUUUAAUUUUAAUGACACUAACUAGCAUUUAGGAUAGGUCUUCUUCCUUAAAGAUGAAAUGAUGCCAAGGAAGCACUAACUGUGCUUUUAUUAUAUCAGACCGAUUCCUGUUUCUCCUGUGAUAUAAUGAACGUAAUAUGGAUUUCUGCAUUUUUUUUUCUCAGUGUGUGUCUUCGUGUUGAUAGAAAUCAAAAUGCUUUCUCUUCCUUCUUCUUUUCACCUACACUUGUGCUCAUGGGGAGAGAAAAGAGGGGUCCCCCCUUACGUGCUUUGGCUGCAGGCUCAGAAGGCUCCCCCCCGUGUGGCGGCUCUGAGUGUUCCAGGGCAUGAACAGCACUGCUUACACAUGCUCUCCCAAUGUGUCUGCCGUGGAAGAUUAAUUCCAAGGGCUGUUAUCACAUUAGGUAACUUCAACAAUCGUUGUGUUUGAACAACAGGAUAAGGCCAUUUUCCCCUCCAAACACAGCAUUUUAUUUUACUUUGAGACUAUCUCAUCCCUUGCAGACAGUUAAGUACACGGCCACCCCCCCCCCCCCACCAGAUCAUUUGAGAGAGUUGCCAACUUGAUAGCCCCACAACCCCGGAGACGUCUGCGUGCAUUUCCUGCAACAGGGCUAUGCUCCGGCGUGACUGCAGUGUGGCCAUAAAAAUUGGGAAAUGAACAGGAUUCAUUUCUACCAUCUGAAAUGUGGGUCUCAUUCAAGUUCUGCCACUUGUUCAUUUAUGUUCUUUAGAGCAAAAGGACCCAGUUUAUAUUCAAGCAUUGCAUUUUGGUGUCCGGUCUUUUCCAGAGGGUUUUUUGUUUUUUGUUUUUUUUUUCCUGGCUGGAACAUUCCCUCAGUCUUUCUUGCAUUUUGAUACUUUUGAAGAUUACAAUGCACUUAUUUAGUGGAAUCUUCCUUGAUUUGGGUUUGUUUCAUGUCUCAUUGUGAUGAGCUUCUAGUUUUUCACCUGUGGUAGGAAUACCACGACAUAGUCUGUUGUUCUUACUGCAUUGUGAUGUUCACGCCGAUCCCCUGAUCGAGGGAUGGCAGGCUGCAAGUUUCUCCAGUGUGAGGUGACACUUUUUAACUUUGUAAUCAAUAAGUAUUUUGUAGGGAGGUUUUGUUUUUUGUUUUUUUGUUUCUUUUUUCCUUAGAGAAAAAAAGAGGGAGAGAGAGAGAGGAGCAGCAGAGGGAGAGGGGG